rnacentral:rRNA from 1 species
GACGAACGCUGGCGGCGUGCUUAACACAUGCAAGUCGAACGAAGUGGCGAACGGGUGAGUAAUACGUGAGUAACCUGCCCUCCUUUUUGGGAUAAGCAUUGGAAACGGGGUCUAAUACCGAAUAAAGGGGGAUGGGCUCGCGGCCUAUCCGCUUGUUGGGGGGGGGUUGGCCUACCAAGGCGGUGACGGGUAGCCGGCCCGAUAGGGUGACCGGCCAAUUUGUGACUAGGAUACGCCUAGACGCCCUCGGGGGGCAGCAGUGGGGGGUUAUUGCCAAUGGGCGGAAAGCCGAUGCAGCGCGACGGGGUGGGGAUGAAGGUGUUCGGGGUGUAAACCUCUUUUGAUGUUCAACGGGUAGGUGGAGAAGAAGCGCCGGCUAACUACGUGCCAGCAGCCGCGGUAAUUC